UACGAAGGGGGCUAGCGUUGCUCGGAAUCACUGGGCGUAAAGGGUGCGUAGGCGGGUCUUUAAGUCAGGGGUGAAAUCCUGGAGCUCAACUCCAGAACUGCCUUUGAUACUGAGGAUCUUGAGUUCGGGAGAGGUGAGUGGAACUGCGAGUGUAGAGGUGAAAUUCGUAGAUAUUCGCAAGAACACCAGUGGCGAAGGCGGCUCACUGGCCCGAUACUGACGCUGAGGCACGAAAGCGUGGGAGCA
rnacentral:rRNA from 1 species